AGGUUGGGAAAGGUGUCAAUGCGGUGUAGUCUGAAGGUAUUGCACUUGUCCCGGCCUG
rnacentral:miRNA from 1 species